rnacentral:rRNA from 1 species
GGGGAAUUUUCCGCAAUGGGCGCAAGCCUGACGGAGCAAUACCGCGUGAGGGAGGAAGCCUUUUGGGGUGUAAACCUCUUUUAUUAGGGAAGAAUUGAUGACGGUACCUAAUGAAUCAGCAUCGGCUAACUCCGUGCCAGCAGCCGCGGUAAUACGGAGGAUGCAAGCGUUAUCCGGAAUCAUUGGGCGUAAAGCGUCCGUAGGUGGCUUUAUAAGUCUUUUGUCAAAUCGUGCAGCUUAACUGCAUACGGGCGGAGGAAACUAUAGAGCUAGAGUGCGAUAGGGGUUACAGGAAUUCCCAGUGUAGCGGUGAAAUGCGUAAAUAUUGGGAAGAACACCAGCGGCGAAAGCGUGUGACUGGGUCUGCACUGACACUGAGGGACGAAAGCUAGGGGAGCGAAAGGGAUUAGAUACCCCUGUAGUCCUAGCCGUAAACGAUGACAACUAAGUGUGGUUCGUAUCGACCCGAGCCGUGCCGUAACCAACGCGUUAAGUUGUUCGCCUGGGGAGUACGCACGCAAGUGUGAAACUCAAAGGAAUUGACGGGGGCCCGCACAAGCGGUGGAGUAUGUGGUUUAAUUCGAUGCAACGCGAAGAACCUUACCAAGGCUUGACAUCCUCGGAACCCUCUUGAAAGGGAGGGGUGCCUUCGGGAACCGAGAGACAGGUGGUGCAUGGCUGUCGUCAGCUCGUGUCGUGAGAUGUUGGGUUAAGUCCCGCAACGAGCGCAACCCACGUUUUUAGUUGCCAGCAUUUAGUUGGGCACUCUAGAGAGACUGCCGGUGACAAACCGGAGGAAGGUGUGGAUGACGUCAAGUCAGCAUGCCCCAUACGCCUUGGGCUACACACGUACUACAAUGCGUUGGACAAAGAGCCGCCAGCCCGCGAGGGUGAGCCAAUCUCAUAAACCAACGCUCAGUUCAGAUUGCAGGCUGCAACUCGCCUGCAUGAAGGCGGAAUCGCUAGUAAUCGCAGGUCAGCAUACUGCGGUGAAUACGUUCCCGGGCCU